rnacentral:lncRNA from 1 species
UUCUUUCUAUUUCACAUCUCAAACCACAUUUCCAUUUCUGCCGAAGUGCAAUCUUUUCCCUCUACACAUAUACUCAACCUCCUCCACCCACGAAUCAUCUUCACUUCACCCCACCUCGUGACCAUCGAAGGAAAGGAGAGUGAGAGGGACGUAGCUUCGGUAUCAUCGACAAGAAAAGAAAAGGAGGAAAACCGCGAGCUGAAGUAUUUCUCUGGUUUUGUCCGUGAGCUGAAGGAAAAAAGGAAGAAGUCGUGCGUGAGUUCUCUUCAUUUUCUCUUCAACCUUCAUCAGCUGCAACCAUCUUCCAAUCACGACACCACUGCAGCUGCAACAACCAUUACAGUUCAGACCAACCAAACCCAGAAGCCGUGCGCGAGCCGAGAGCCGAGAGAGGGAAAGUCUCCAGCACCUUGACGUGUGAGUGAGCCUUCAGUGAGGUAAAUUUUCUGGACUGAAAAUGGUUGAUCAGAGGUUGAAUAAG